UGGACCAAGUGUUUAUAGAGAUGUUGCUCUGACGUUGGCUAUUCCUACCAUUCUGAAGCAGAAUUCACCAAGCAUUGGAUUGUUCACCCACUAAUAGGGAGUGUGAGCUGGGUUAGACUAGUGUGAGACAGGUU
rnacentral:ncRNA from 1 species